rnacentral:rRNA from 1 species
UUAGUAGAGAAGCGUGUGAGCCAGCUGCCAAGAAAAGCCGCUAUUGCUUCAUAAGUACCCGUACCGUAAACCGACACAGGUGGAUGAGGAGAGAAUCCUAAGGCCGGGGGGAGAAGUGUUGUUAAGGAACUCGGCAAAAUGACUCCGUAACUUCGGGAGAAGGAGUGCCACAGAGAUGUGGCCGCAGAGAAAUGGCCCAAGCAACUGUUUAGCAAAAACACAGGUCUAUGCAAAACCGAAAGGUAAGGUAUAUGGGCUGACGCCUGCCCUGUGCUGGAAGGUUAAGAGGAGAGGUUAGAGCAAUCGAAGCUUUGAAUUUAAGCCCCAGUAAACGGCGGCCGUAACAAUAACGGUCCUAAGGUAGCGAAAUUCCUUGUCGGGUAAGUUCCGACCCGCACGAAAGGCGUAAUGAUUUGGGCACUGUCUCAACAACACACCCGGUGAAAUUGAAAUACCAGUGAAGAUGCUGGUUACCUGCGCCAGGACGGAAAGACCCCAUGGAGCUUUACUCCAGUUUGAUACUGGGAUUCGGUACUGUCUGUACAGGAUAGGUGGGAGGUUAGGAAAUGGUGACGCCAGUUGCCAUGGAGCCAACCUUGGGAUACCACCCUUACAGUACUGGGUUUCUAACCUGCAGCCGUGACCCGGCUGGGGGACAAUGUCUGACGGGGAGUUUGACUGGGGCGGUCGCCUCCGAAAGAGUAUCGGAGGCGCUCAAAGGUUCCCUCAGAACGGUUGGAAACCGUUCGAAGAGUGCAAAGGCAGAAGGGAGCUUGACUGCGACACCGACGGGUGGAGCAGAUACGAAAGUAGGACUUAGUGAUCCGGUGGUAUAAAGUGGGAUUGCCAUCGCUCAACGGAUAAAAGCUACCCUGGGAUAACAGGCUUAUCACUCCCAAGAGUUCACAUCGACGGAGUGGUUUGGCACCUCGAUGUCGGCUCAUCGCAUCCUGGAGCUGUAGCAGGUUCCAAGGGUUGGGCUGUUCGCCCAUUAAAGCGGUACGCGAGCUGGGUUCAGAACGUCGUGAGACAGUUCGGUCCCUAUCCGGCGUGGGCGUAGGAUAUUUGAGAGGAGCUGUCCUUAGUACGAGAGGACCGGGACGGACAAACCUCUGGUGUAUCUGUUGUUUUACCAAAGGCAUGGCAGAGUAGCCAAGUUUGGCAAGGAUAAACGCUGAAGGCAUCUAAGCGUGAAGCCCCCCUCAAGAUAAGAUAUCCCAUCUUCGGAGUAAGACCCCUUGAAGACUACAAGGUUGAUAGGCUUCAGGUGUAAGUGUGGUAACGCACUCAGCUGAGAAGUACUAUUAGGUCGAGGACUUAU